UGUGGUGUGGCACUAUUUCAUCAGCACUGAAUUUAGCCAGCAGAUUUUCAAACAUUCUGAUUAGAUCAAAUCAUUUGCAAACUGGAAAGGAUCUGUGUACAAGCUAGCCUCACAGGUGCAUAUAUUAGUGCAAAUUCCAUGGUGCUUGAGUGUCUUUAAUUGUGAUUUUUUAGAGAUCCUCCUUAAAUUAAUUCCAGUCAAAUGAAGUCAACAGUGAAGUGAUUAUCAGGUUCAGAGGCAUAAGUAGAUCCAUACCUCCUCCCCUGAGACUCUGGAUCCUAGCCAACACUCUCCAGGACAAAUGGGAAAACAGCGUGGCGAUUUUCAGUUUUUCUGUACUGCUUUUAAUUUCUGUUAAAUGUACUAUAAAUAAAUGCAUGUGAUCAC
rnacentral:lncRNA from 11 species